UUUGACCAAUAAUUAAACACAUGAACUCAAAUUUAAAUCAUACUUGGUGGUGGAACUUUCGAAACUCAAUUUCGUGAACUAAACCUAUGGUAUAUUUAAAAUAAAAAUAUAAAAGGCUUGUC
rfam:Bacteroidetes bacterium MedPE-SWsnd-G2 Bacteroidetes-MedPE-SWsnd-G2-C1, whole genome shotgun sequence.